rnacentral:rRNA from 1 species
GACGAACGCUGGCGGCGUGCCUAAUACAUGCAAGUAGAACGCACAGUUUAUACCGUAGCUUGCUACACCAUAGACUGUGAGUUGCGAACGGGUGAGUAACGCGUAGGUAACCUGCCUGGUAGCGGGGGAUAACUAUUGGAAACGAUAGCUAAUACCGCAUAAUAUUAAUUAUUGCAUGAUAAUUAAUUGAAAGGUGCAAUUGCACCACUACCAGAUGGACCUGCGUUGUAUUAGCUAGUAGGUGAGGUAACGGCUCACCUAGGCGACGAUACAUAGCCGACCUGAGAGGGUGAUCGGCCACACUGGGACUGAGACACGGCCCAGACUCCUACGGGAGGCAGCAGUAGGGAAUCUUCGGCAAUGGACGAAAGUCUGACCGAGCAACGCCGCGUGAGUGAAGAAGGGUUUCGGAUCGUAAAGCUCUGCUGUAAGAGAAGAACGGGUGUGAGAGUGGAAAGUUCACACUGUGACGGUAUCUUACCAGAAAGGGACGGCUAACUACGUG